CAAUAGCGUAUAUUAAAGUUGUUGCAGUUAAAAAGCUCGUAGUUGGAUGUCUGGCUCUGUGUUGCGGUCCACCGCAAGGUGAGCACUGCGAUGUGGGGUCUUCCUCUUGAAUGCUGCGUGUGCUCUUAGUUGAGUGUGCGUGGGGUUUGGGAUCUUACUUGAAAAAUUAGAGUGUUCAAAGCAGGCCACGCAUUGAUACAUUAGCAUGGAAUAAUGGAAUAGGACUUUGGUCUUAUUUUGUUGGUUUCUAAGGCCGAGGUAAUGAUUAAUAGGGAUAGUUGGGGCGUUUAUAUUCCGUUGUCAGAGGUGAAAUUCUUGGAUUUACGGAAGAUAAACUACUGCGAAAGCAUUCGCCAAGGAUGUUUUCAUUAAUCAAGAACGAAAGUUAGGGGAUCGAAGAUGAUUAGAU
rnacentral:rRNA from 1 species